rnacentral:rRNA from 1 species
UACGGGGGGAGCAAGCGUUGUUCGGAUUUACUGGGCGUAAAGGGCGCGUAGGCGGCCACCGCAAGUCGACUGUGAAAUCUCCGGGCUUAACCCGGAAAGGUCAGCCGAUACUGCGGGGCUAGAGUGCAGAAGGGGCAACUGGAAUUCUCGGUGUAGCGGUGAAAUGCGUAGAUAUCGAGAGGAACACCUGCGGCUAAGGCGGCUCUCUAGUACGGUACUGACGCUGAGACGCGAAAGCGUGGGGAGCAAACAGG